UGAAUACGAGACGCUAAGGCGUCGAAGUAGUGUAUGUCAUACUUCCAAGAAAAGCUUGCACUGUCAUAGAUAAAAAACGCCUGUACCAUAACCGACACAGGUGGGUAGGUAGAGUAUACUAAGGGGCGCGAGAUAACUCUCUCUAAGGAACUCGGCAAAAUAACUCCGUAACUUCGGGAGAAGGAGUGCCUUAUUCGUAAGGUUGCAAUAACAAGAUCCAAGCAACUGUUUAUCAAAAACACAGGUCUCCGCUAAGUCGUAAGACGAUGUAUGGGGGCUGACGCCUGCCCAGUGCCAGAAGGUUAAAGAAGUUGGUUAGCAAUUGCGAAGCUGAUAACUGAAGCCCUGGUGAACGGCGGCCGUAACAAUAACGGUCCUAAGGUAGCGAAAUUCCUUGUCGGGUAAGUUCCGACCCGCACGAAAGGCGUAAUGAUUUGGAUACUGUCUCGGAGAGGGGCUCGGUGAAAUAGACUUGUCUGUGAAGAUGCGGACUACCUGCACCAGGACAGAAAGACCCUAUGAAGCUUUACUGUAACUUGAAAUUGAAAUUGGACUUUAUUCGCGCAGUAUAGGUGGGAGGCGUUGAUUAUAAUCUUGUGGGAUUAUUGGAGCCAUCAGUGAGAUACCACUCUUGUAAUGUUAGAUUUCUAACUUUGAAUCAUUAUCUGGUCAAAGAACAGUUUCAGGCGGGCAGUUUGACUGGGGCGGUCGCCUCCUAAACGGUAACGGAGGCGUACAAAGGUUUCCUCUGAACGGUUAGAAAUCGUAUCUAGAGUGUAAAGGCAUAAGGAAGCUUGACCGUGAGACCUACAAGUCGAGCAGGGACGAAAGUCGGUCUUAGUGAUCUGACGGUACUGAGUGGAAAGGCCGUCACUCAACGGAUAAAAGUUACUCUAAGGAUAACAGGCUGAUCUCCCCCAAGAGUUCACAUCGACGGGGAGGUUUGGCACCUCGAUGUCGGCUCAUCGCAUCCUGGGGCGGUAGUACGUCCCAAGGGUUGGGCUGUUCGCCCAUGAAAGCGGUACGCGAGCUGGGUUCAGAACGUCGUGAGACAGUUCGGUCCAUAUCCGGUGUAGGCGUUAGAAUAUUGAGAGGAGCCUUCUUUAGUACGAGAGGACCGAGAAGGACAUACCUCUGGUGUACCAGUUAUCGUGCCAACGGUAAACGCUGGGUAGCUAUGUAUGGAGUGGGUAACCGCUGAAAGCAUCUAAGUGGGAAGCCCACCUCAAGAUAAGUAUUCUCAU
rnacentral:rRNA from 1 species